rnacentral:rRNA from 1 species
AACGAACGCUGGCGGCAGGCCUAACACAUGCAAGUCGAGCGCUCUCUUCGGAGGGAGCGGCGGACGGGUUAGUAACGCGUGGGAAUGUACCCUUCUCUAAGGAAUAGCCAUUGGAAACGAUGAGUAAUACCUUAUACGCCCCCCGGGUCAAACUGGGGGGAAAGAGUUUAUCGGAGAGGGAUCAGCCCGCGUAAGAUUAGAUAGUUGGUGGGUAAUGGCCUACCAAGUCUACGAUCUUUAGCUGGUUUUAGAGGAUGAUCAGCAACACUGGGACUGAGACACGGCCCAGACUCCUACGGGAGGCAGCAGUGGGGAAUCUUAGACAAUGGGCGCAAGCCUGAUCUAGCCAUGCCGCGUGUGUGAUGAAGGUCUUAGGAUCGUAAAGCACUUUCGCCAGGGAUGAUAAUGACAGUACCUGGUAAAGAAACCCCGGCUAACUCCGUG